rnacentral:lncRNA from 1 species
GGCAACCAAAGGCGCGAGGUCUGACCCUUAAAGUGGCAGAGCUAUAUCUGAAAACUCCGUGCAUUUCACAGUUCUAUGUUGGAUGUUUAAGAGUUGGACCACCAAAAAAAAAAUCUCCAUUUUACCCCGAGAAUGAGGGCGAACUUCAAGAAGCACUCAAGAGUAUCAACAAACACUGGGGUUGUAGAGUGGAAUUAGCAAAAGAACAACUAGCUAUCCACAGUAGAUGUUUAACAUGUAAAGACGUUGUGUGAGCUUCAGUGCCCAUACAUGACCAAAGUUUUCCUGUCUUUCACACGUGAGGAUUACGAGAAGAGGUUUGAUCUCGUAGACAGUGUAACCCUACCUCCGCCUGGGCCCUAUUUGCGAAGAUACGUCUCUUAUUAAACUAAUGAUGUUUCAAACGAGUACAUCAGCCUUGAGACAGGUCUAGAUUUCUUCCAUGGAUGACGUUUCGAUCAGAAUGUGAAACUAGAGGCGAUUAUACAAAUUUUGAAAAUAAUUGUUUCAAAUGCAUGUAUGAAAUCAUUUGGAUUUUUCAAAUGUUAAAUGUGUCAAUUAGAAUGUGCAACGAAGUAGUAAUAUAUACAAUCAAAAUUAUGGUGUCUGAAUAAAAAAACGACUUCUCGGUACAAGUUAUCUGAAUAUGAUUAAGAGGGACUGUUUGAUCGCGAAUGUCACAUUAAGAAUAAAAUAUUGAUAUUUGUAAAGUUUAUAUAUGAUAAUUUCACCCGAAAAGAGGGUCAUCUAGAUCGUACAACGGAUAAGAUUUGGAUAAUAAAUUAAGCAUAAAGACUAAUCUUUAAACCGAUAUGUAUAAACUAAAAUGAGAGUCUUACAACAGACCAUCUAAAUAUUUAUAACGAUGGUUUUUGAAUGAUAAUUAGAUUUGUUUGUUUGAAGUUAAACACAAAGCUACACGAUGGGUUAUCUGUGCUCUGCCCACCACGGGUAUCGAAACCUGGUUUCUAGCGUUGUAAGUCCGAAGACAUACCGUCGUGCCACUGGGGGCUGAGAAUGAGAAGAAAAUGAAAAAUCAAUUAAAUUUCAAAAGUGUUAUUCGCAUUUCUAGAGCGGUAAUUUGAAAAGCAAGAAUCUAAGACUUCAGAGACUUAGAUUGGGUGUAAUGGUAAGUCUAAUGCCUGGGAAGAGAAAUGAGAAGUUCUGCCUAUAACUACUAACACUGUUUUAUUAGUUCUAUAUCGCAGUAUAGAAAUAAACGGGACUUUAUUCAUUAUUUUUUAUUUAGAGACGAAAAGGAAUGCAGAACAUUAUAAUUCGUAAAGGAUCUAAAUAAAGAUACAUCCAGUUUCUCUGAAUCUUAGUCACAACUUUUCUUUUUCUACUUUGAUCCAGCCUAAUUUAUGCUAUGUAAGACAUAAAACAAGCCGAAGAAGUUUUAUUGGUCCAAGAAAAAUAAAUAAAUUGUAUUCCACUAGCCGAGAGGACCUCACCAGUUAGAAAACAGCAUCUUGUAUUACAAAACGUAAUAUGUCAUGUAAGCUCGUGACAAACUAUGAUAAAAAAAGGACCCAGGGAAAGUCUAUGGGUAAAUCACUUUUCUAAAUAGAGAUUAUACAUACAUUCAAGUACCCCCCCCCCCAAAAAAAACUUCUAUUAUUCACACUAAUUAAGUGAAACAAAUCUUGUAAAUCAAAUCUUCCGAUCAAUAAAGAGCAACUGUUGAGUGAC